rnacentral:rRNA from 1 species
AUUGAACGCUGGCGGCAUGCCUUACACAUGCAAGUCGAACGGCAGCGCGGGGGCAACCCUGGCGGCGAGUGGCGAACGGGUGAGUAAGUACAUCGGAACGUGUCCAGUCGUGGGGGAUAACCAGUCGAAAGACUGGCUAAUACCGCAUGCGCCCGAAAGGGGAAAGCGGGGGACCGCAAGGCCUCGCGCGAUUGGAGCGGCCGAUGUCCGAUUAGCUAGUUGGUGGGGUAAAAGCCUACCAAGGCGACGAUCGGUAGCUGGUCUGAGAGGACGACCAGCCACACUGGGACUGAGACACGGCCCAGACUCCCGACGGGAGGCAGCAGUGGGGAAUUUGGACAAUGGGGGCAACCCUGAUCCAGCCAU